GCGAACGCUGGCGGCGUGCUUAACACAUGCAAGUCGAGCGGUAAGGCCCUUUCGGGGGUACACGAGCGGCGAACGGGUGAGUAACACGUGGGUGACCUGCCCUUAGGCUCUGGGAUAAGCCUGGGAACUGGGUCUAAUACCGGAUAUGACUCCAUGACGCCAUGUUGUGGGGUGGAAAGCCUUGUGCGGCUAGGGAUGGGCCCGCGGCCUAUCAG
rnacentral:rRNA from 1 species